GAUGAACGCUGGCGGCGUGCCUAAUACAUGCAAGUCGAGCGAACAGACGAGGAGCUUGCUGCUCUGACGUUAGCGGCGGACGGGUGAGUAACACGUGGAUAACCUACCUAUAAGACUGGGAUAACUUCGGGAAACCGGAGCUAAUACCGGAUAAUAUAUUGAACCGCAUGGUUCAAUAGUGAAAGACGGUUUUGCUGUCACUUAUAGAUGGAUCCGCGCCGCAUUAGCUAGUUGGUAAGGUAACGGCUUACCAAGGCGACGAUGCGUAGCCGACCUGAGAGGGUGAUCGGCCACACUGGAACUGAGACACGGUCCAGACUCCUACGGGAGGCAGCAGUAGGGAAUCUUCCGCAAUGGGCGAAAGCCUGACGGAGCAACGCCGCGUGAGUGAUGAAGGUCUUCGGAUCGUAAAACUCUGUUAUUAGGGAAGAACAAAUGUGUAAGUAACUAUGCACGUCUUGACGGUACCUAAUCAGAAAGCCACGGCUAACUACGUG
rnacentral:rRNA from 1 species